CCUACGGGAGGCAGCAGUGAGGAAUCUUGGUCAAUGGACGAGAGUCUGAACCAGCCAAGUAGCGUGAAGGAUUACUGCCCUAUGGGUUGUAAACUUCUUUUAUAUGGGAAUAAAAUGUUCCACGUGUGGGAUUUUGUAUGUACCAUAUGGAUAAGGAUCGGCUAACUCCGUGCCAGCAGCCGCGGUAAUACGGAGGAUCCGAGCGUUAUCCGGAUUUAUUGGGUUUAAAGGGAGCGUAGGUGGAUUGUUAAGUCAGUUGUGAAAGUUUGCGGCUCAACCGUAAAACUGCAGUUGAAACUGGGAGUCUUGAGUACAGUAGAGGUGGGUGGAAUUCGUGGUGUAGCGGUGAAAUGCGUAGAUAUCACGAAGAACUCCGAUUGCGAAGGCAGCUCACUGGACUGCAACUGACACUGAGGCUCGAAAGUGUGGGUAUCAAACAGGAUUAGAUACCCCGGUAGUC
rnacentral:rRNA from 1 species